AUACUUAACUGGCAGGGGAGAUACCAUGAUCACGAAGGUGGUUUUCCCAGGGCGAGGCUUAUCCAUUGCACUCCGAUGUGCUGACCCCUGCGAUUUCCCCAAAUGCGGGAAACUCGACUGCAUAAUUCGUGGUAGUGGGGGACUGAACUUCUCCCACCCUGC
rnacentral:snRNA from 1 species